rnacentral:rRNA from 1 species
UACGUAGGGUGCGAGCGUUGUCCGGAAUUACUGGGCGUAAAGAGUUCGUAGGCGGUUUGUCGCGUCGUCCGUGAAAACUUGGGGCUCAACCCCAAGCUUGCGGGCGAUACGGGCAGACUUGAGUACUGCAGGGGAGACUGGAAUUCCUGGUGUAGCGGUGAAAUGCGCAGAUAUCAGGAGGAACACCGGUGGCGAAGGCGGGUCUCUGGGCAGUAACUGACGCUGAGGAGCGAAAGCGUGGGUAGCAAACAGG